AAGUCGUAACAAGGUUUCCGUAGGUGAACCUGCGGAAGGAUCAUUAAUGGAUUUUGACCGAAAGGUUGAAUUACCUUGUGAUGUGUUGAAUGUUGUCUGUUGCCAUGUGAAAAGUGGCGACAGUACUUUUUUUACAAACCAUUUCUUUGAUUUCUGAUUCUUUUGUGCAUUUUUGCACACAAACAACCGAAAACUGCCAGCAACGGAUCACUCGGUUCUC
rnacentral:misc_RNA from 1 species